rnacentral:tRNA from 1 species
GGACCUAUAGGGAAGCUGGAGUUCCCGUCUCCCUGUCACGGAGAAGAUCGUGGGUUCAAGUCCCACUAGGUCCG